rnacentral:lncRNA from 1 species
UUGGCUUACAGUUUGGUGAUCCAGCACAAUCUUUCUAUUUUCUUCAAAUUCUUAAGCAAUUACUCACGUUUGAAGAAUGACGAUGGAGCAUACCUUCUUUUAGAAAACUAUACUGUGGACCAUGGGUGUUCAAGAUUAUAUUGUGGUUUGGGCAAUUGUGAGACGUCUAUCACCAUGAAUUGCUUAGAUGAUGCACCAAAGUGGACCUAUUUUGCAUUCAUGGACUUUGAUAUUUUUACUGAUCUCAUGGUUGUGAACAUCAAUGGUGUAAAGUAUAUGUAUUGCUGCUCAUAGAUAAAUCUUUACCGAGUUUUCAUUUUAUCAUGUACACUUCAAGUCUUGCUUGCCAAACUUCCACAAGUUCAUGUUAAAUUGUUAACUGCCUCAUGUUUGUUCUUCAUUAUUCCAUAUCAAAGUGAUGUUGUCCAAUGCGUCUGUUCCUGUCUGAUGAAAUUGCUUUCCAUGAGGUAUGCCCUGAAGAUGACACAAUAUCAUUCCUCUUGGUGCCUGUGCUAAUAUAACUCUUAUUUUGAAAAAAAAAACAGUUUCUAUGUAUUUGGGAGCAGGAUAUUAGGUAGAAAUCUUUUGGUGAACUGCAGAUUUAAGCGUCUCUGGCGAGUUCUUUGUCGGUCAGCACCACCUCCCUUGGCGCUUGACCUAGCAGAUGUGUGUGCGUGUGCAGAUCACCCAUGCCUCCACUACGCCACCUGCUGUUGGAUGGCACUGGCCGUCCAAGCGUGUGGAACUGGAAGGACUGUCCUUCAUGGUGGCACAACUCAGCUCGGAGGAUAAAAGACCAAGGUCCUGCAGGUAACAUCCCAUCAACUACCUGUCUACUCCCUCCGUCCCAAUAUAAGUGACUCAACUUUGUACUAACUUUAGUACAAAGUUAGUACAAACUUGAGUCACUUAUUUUCGGACGGAGGGAUUACUAAAUAGAAAGCUUCCAUCUUGAUGUAAUUUACUGGAGGUUAAUCCUACUUGCUUGUUUGAUAAACCUUGUCAUAUGCUUCAUGUGAGGUUUCUUGUAUUGGUAGCAGGCAAUGAGUUACUAUAUAUGAUAUCAUAUUCCAAAUACAAUUAUUCAACUCAUCAGUUCAGCAGAUCCUACAUAAAAGGAAAAGUGAACAGACAACAUGCAUUUGCUUUGGUUUAUGGUUUUUUAGAGCAUCACUAAGUUUGCCAAAAGAAAUUCGCCCAAAACAAACAUCACGACACUCCGUUUUAGCCUAAACAGAAGUGGCUUCAGUUUAUGACAUCUCUGAAUUUUGAGAAUAGUAGGACAUGAUCUGCAAUUGCGCUUUGCAAGUUUUACUGAUUUCUUGUGCAAGAUCCUAAAACAGUUUACCAUUUUGAUCCCUAGAUUUUCUUAUAUUGUCGAAGUUUCUUCCAAAUAAAUAUACAAUAUGUUUGGGGUUUAUCUGAGUGCCUAGCAUGGUGCAACAGUUAUAUUUUUCUUCAACGACGGUGAAAGAGCUAUCACUUAUAUCGAUCUCCAAUUCAAGUUCUUUUUUUCUAUGGAGGGCACUGUAACUAUCUCAUGGUCAGAACAUUGAUCCUGUUAGUAAUUUAGUCUAUAAUAUUUAGUUUCAAAAGAUAAUUUCUCUUGAGUGAGAAGUUUCCAUUUCUCUUGAGUGAGAAAUUUCCAGAGGGCGGCGGUGUUGAAGGGAGCCGCUGGCGCUGGCCAAGAUCCCAACCGAUGGACGUGCCUGGUCGCUGGAUCCAGUUCACGCGUUGGCUUGGGGGCACCUCGGGGAUGUCACCGGUGUUGGAGGCGUCCACAAUAGUGCGGGAUGGGGACCGAGCGUCGGGGCAUGUCGCGGGUUCCGGUUGAGGGCUUGAUCAUAUAACUGAAUUCUUAUUGCUUGCUUUCUGACAUUGUGACAUUGAACACUAGAGCUGAAUUGACUCUCUUCACAAGACUCACUUUGAUACAGCCUUCAUGUGAAGUUUUCAAGUACUACAUAUAGGAGGGGGCAGGAGUGGCUGCAAUCUUGCUACGAAAUGACACUUAUGGAGCUUCUUUACCUAACAUGGCCAAGAAGUCUGCAAACUCCAGUAAUCGUAGAGUAGAGCCGGUUGGAUACAUAUUUGCAGAGUGCAUGUAGUGUGUGUGUCAGAUAUACAGUGGGAAAACACAACAAUGCAAGUGUCAGAUCCUGUUCUCGAUGCAAUUUUGCGACUCUAUUCUGGACUGUAAGCAAUUGGUUGAUGUUAAGCUGAAACUCGGAUCAGUCUUGUGGCUCUUGUGUACCUAUAUGCCUAGAUUAUUUAAUAAUGGUAUAUGAACUAUAUCUUCCUGUAUAGGAUGAUCAAUUGCCAGGAAUAGAAAGACUAUGGUUUUGAUUUUUAUCAUGUUUUUGUGAUUAGCUUCCUGGUAGACUGGACUUCCAGUUAUCUGCUAGACUAAAUAAUUUCUAGCUGAUUUUUAACUAUUGAUUAGUACACAGAGAUGAAUUAUGUUGGUCUCAAAAUGCAACACAUUUCUUGGAUGCCUUGAC